AUUGAACGCUGGCGGCAGGCCUAACACAUGCAAGUCGAACGAGUGGCGGACGGGUGAGUAAUGUCUGGGAAACUGCCUGAUGGAGGGGGAUAACUACGGGAAACGGUAGCUAAUACCGCAUACCAUCAGAUGUGCCCAGAUGGGAUUAGCUAGUUGGUGGGGUAAAGGCUCACCAAGGCGACGAUCCCUAGCUGGUCUGAGAGGAUGACCAGCCACACUGGAACUGAGAGACGGUCCAGACUCCUACGGGAGUCAGCAGUGGGGAAUAUUGCACAAUGGGCGCAAGCCUGAGGCAGCCAUGCCGCGUGUAUGAAGAAGGCCUUGAGGUUGUAGAGUACUUUCGGCGGGGAGGCGUUACCCGAAGAAGAAGCGCCGGCUAACUACGUGCCAGCAGCCGCGGUAAUUC
rnacentral:rRNA from 1 species